rnacentral:rRNA from 1 species
UGAGUUUGAUCCUGGCUCAGAUUGAACGCUGGCGGUAUGCUUAACACAUGCAAGUCGAACGGAAACGAUGGUAGCUUGCUACCAGGCGUCGAGUGGCGAACGGGUGAGUAACGCGUAGGAAUCUGCCUGAUAGUGGGGGAUAGCCCAGAGAAAUCUGGAUUAAUACCGCAUAAUCUCUAUGGAGUAAAGGAGCCCUCUUCUUGAAAGGUUUCGCUAUCAGAUGAGCCUGCGUAAGAUUAGCUUGUUGGUGAGGUAAAAGCUCACCAAGGCGACGAUCUUUAGCUGGUCUGAGAGGAUGAUCAGCCACACUGGAACUGAGACACGGUCCAGACUCCUACGGGAGGCAGCAGUGGGGAAUAUUGGACAAUGGGCGCAAGCCUGACCCAGCAAUACCGCGUGUGUGAAGAAGGCCUGAGGGUUGUAAAGCACUUUCAAUUGUGAAGAAAAGCUAAUGGCUAAUACCCAUUAGCCUUGACGUUAACUUUAGAAGAAGCACCGGCUAACUCCGUGCCAGCAGCCGCGGUAAUACGGUGGGUGCAAGCGUUAAUCGGAAUUACUGGGCGUAAAGCGUGCGUAGGUGGUUUGUUAAGUUAGAUGUGAAAGCCCUGGGCUCAACCUAGGAACUGCAUUUAAAACUGGCAAACUAGAGUAUAGGAGAGGAAAGU